GUACCACGUGCAGCUUCUAUAGUCUAUGCUUCGCGGUUGUUGCCGUUCUUUGCGAUUGCUUUUUGUUGUAAUUGUUUGGUUAGAAUUAUGCUUUGAAGUUUGCAAUAUGAAAGUAGUGCAAAUCUCUCGAACAGUAGAGUAACGUCAUGUAACUGUUAAUACCAGAUGAAACAAAGCCGCAUUGGCGUAGGACGCGUUUGAAAAGUACUAAUUUGCUUCGUUUGUUCCAGAAUUUUUUAUCCACAGGCAAACACUCGCCCCGAAAGGGUGCCAGUCGCAUACGAAAUCUCCAGUCACGCUAGGAAAUGGAAUAGGCGUUAUUGAUGCGGCUACUUUCGAUACGACCGCAUCUGGACAUUUCUGCCUUUUCCUUCUUCCUCUUUCGAUUCAAUAUAAAGCAGCCAGACGUAACCUUUCGCUGCGUGAAACGAACAGAAAAGAACGUAUCUGUAUCAUAGCA